UACGUAGGUGGCAAGCGUUGUCCGGAAUUAUUGGGCGUAAAGCGCGCGCAGGCGGUCCUUUAAGUCUGAUGUGAAAGCCCACGACUCAACCGUGGAGGGUCAUUGGAAACUGGGGGACUUGAGUACAGAAGAGAAGAGUGGAAUUCCACGUGUAGCGGUGAAAUGCGUAGAGAUGUGGAGGAACACCAGUGGCGAAGGCGACUCUUUGGUCUGUAACUGACGCUGAGGCGCGAAAGCGUGGGGAGCAAACAGG
rnacentral:rRNA from 1 species